UUUCUGUUUAUAACCAUUCUGUAAAAAGCAAUUUCUUUCAAUUAUUUAUAAGCCUACAAACUGAAUUCUGUAUAUAUGCAAUUCGAUCCAAAUUGCAUUAUGCAUAUUUGUGGAGCCAUGGAGGGUUAUUUAUUUCGAUUGGAAUUUUGUGUUGUGACUUAAAAGAUGACGAAUGCUGCAGUCUUUGUGAAAAAAUAGUGAAAGGAUGGAGUCAAUAGUGAAAAAAUAUCAGAGACAAUUCCGGAAAAUUAAGGGCGAAAUUAGCCGAUGUGAAGAGCUCCAGUCUCGGCUUAUUUCCCAAUUCUCUAACGCAUCUUCCAUAAUCCAGAGGCUGCAGGCGUUUCAAAUUUUGCAAAACUAUGAAGCUUUGAGAUGUGUUGAGGGAGUUGAAGAUGUUGUGUUGGAAAAGCAGAUGGAUUCCCUUCAAACUAUCAUCAUCACCAUCAACAACACUAUGAAAGAAUUCGGUGGGAUUGUUUCUUUCCUUGAGAAUGUAGUUCGUGAUAGCAAGCAGCUUGCGAAAGUGGGGUCUGCCCAGAUGACUGGAAAACAACUGAAGCUACAGGUUGGAGUAAAACCAACUCUUGCAGAUUGCAUAGAAGGACUUAGACUUCUUGAAGAAAUGCAUCAAUCAGAGUACCUUCUCAAAUUAUGUAUGAUGUCAGCGCUUCCUGCCCUUGCAGUGAAACCCAGCUUAACACACUUCUUAAUAUAAUCUAGCUAAAACCUCCGCCUCCUUUAAUGGCCUUCUGGAAAGAUGGGCACAAUAUUAUUUAGUGUGGAGUAUCCGAGUAUGUCAUGUGCAAGUGCUGACUUAGGGGCACUUCAACAGCUUUUAGUAGAUCAACUUAAUAUCCCCCAAGAAGAAGUGCAAUAUAUAUAUGACAUUAUAUUUGCUGAAGAAAUUUCUUGAAGUGUUUGUUGUACAUGGUAAUGUCGAAUUGUGAAGAAGGAAAGUUUGAUGGCCUUGAGCAUUCAUUACUGAACGGAAAUGGUGAAAGAAGCAUUAACCAUGAACUGAAUCGGGAGUUUUGAUUUUGCUUAAUAGAAUAUCUGUAUUUACUUAUACAAGGUUAGAAAUUUUUCUUCCCAGCAAGCGUUGGAAAAUUCCAAGUAAGGUACAGUUUUUGAAGUGAUGAUGUGUUGUUUUGGACCUUCAGUUGCAUGCUUAAAGAGAUCCUUCGUAUGAAAA